CGGAUUGCAGGCUGAAACCCGCCUGUAUGAAGUUGGAAUCGCUAGUAAUCGCGGAUCAGCAUGCCGCGGUGAAUACGUUCCCGGGCCUUGUACACACCGCCCGUCACACCAUGAGAGUCGGGAACACCCGAAGUCCGUAGCCUAACCGCAAGGGGGGCGCGGCCGAAGGUGGGUUCGAUAAUUGGGGUGAAGUCGUAACAAGGUAUC
rnacentral:rRNA from 1 species